AGUAUACUACAUGUGGCAGAGAACACUUGCGGUUUUUACAAAUGCAACAUCCGGAAUCAUUAGAUUUUCACGAGAUGCAGCAGUCUACAUUCUCGACUUGGUUUGCAAAACGGAUAAUGCUAACACUCUAUUUUACUUACUUUACUUUGUGAUACUGCAUUGCACUCUGAUAACAUGAUUACUAUGUUGAAAAUUGGGUACAUAUUCAAGAGAUGUAUGCGCUAAAUCCAUCUCAAAUUAAUGAAGAGUUAUAUGUAUUGUCUUGCCUUCCUGAUAAUCGAGUAUCGUCACACAGGGGUUAUAUCAUGAACGGGGUAAAAUUUAUAGUUAAGACAAACGAUGACGGUAGACAAACACAAAAUUGUGGAGUUACGGUACCGGGCGUUCAUAAUGAUAUCGAAGAUGACUAUUAUGGAUUUCUUGAUGAAGUCAUUGAAUUGUCAUUUAUAAGAGGUUAUCGUAUAAUAUAAUUCAAAUGCACAUGGUUUGAUACUGAUCGUCGAAGAAAGAACGUGAUAUUUGAACCUCAUUUUAUAAGCAUAGAUACGUCUCGACAUGCUUACAAGGAGGAUCCUUUCACCUGUGCAAACCAAGCUAAACAAGUGUUUUAUAUAAAUGAUCCACUUAAACCAAAUUCACAAUGGAAAAUCAUUGAAAGAAUUACCCACAGACACUUGUGGGAUAUUCCAGAAGACAAGAAUGCAGAAGAUUUGUUUGAAGAUGUCAACCUUCACCGUAAAGAUGUUGAAGAAGAAAUUGUUGAAAACGUUGAUGUUGAUGGCAUUAUAGAUGAUUUUAUCAAUGACAAGCUAGAUGAUUCUGAUCAUAGCAUGGAAGAUUUUGGUUCAAAGUCAAAUAUGGAUGAUUCAGAGACACUAAUAAACCCAAUAAUGAAAUGGAAAAUGAUGAGUCAGACGAUGAUGAUUGGUAAAAGUAGAAGUAUCAAGAAAGGAAUUACAUUGAAGGAAAAAGUAGAAGUAUCAAGAAAGGAAUUACAGAAGGAUGAAUUUGGAAGAAGCUUAUCUUAGAGGCUUGUGCUACUUGGACUUAUAAAGGUUGUUGAUAUGUUGUAGUAGGUUGAUUUGGAUGCUAAUGAUCUUAUUUUGUACUUUGUUGAACUUUGUAGCAGGUUGAUUUGGUCUUUUGUUUGUUAAACAAUAUUUAGUUUUUUUAUAUGUAAG